rnacentral:rRNA from 1 species
GACAGAGGGUGCGAACGUUGUUCGGAAUUACUGGGCGUAAAGCGCGUGUAGGCUGUCGUGCAAGUCGGGUGUGAAAGCCCAGGGCUCAACCCUGGAAGUGCACUCGAAACUGCAAGACUUGAGUAUCGGAGAGGGUGGCGGAAUUCUCGGUGUAGAGGUGAAAUUCGUAGAUAUCGAGAGGAACACCAGUGGCGAAGGCGGCCACCUGGACGAUUACUGACGCUGAGACGCGAAAGCGUGGGGAGCAAACAGG